GAUGAAGAACGUAGCGAAAUUCGAUAAGUAGUGUGAAUUGCAGAAUUCAGUGAAUCAUCGAAUCUUUGAACGCACAUUGCGCCCCUUGGUAUCCCGAGGGGCAUGCCUGUUCGAGCGUCAUUUCACCACUCAAGCCUGGCUUGGUGUUGGGCGACGUCCUCUUUGGGGACGCGCCUCGAAACGCUCGGCGGCGUGGCACCGGCUUUAAGCGUAGCAGAAUCUUUCGCUUUGGAAGUCGGGGCCCCGUCUGCCGGAAGACCUGCUCGCAAGGUUGACCUCGGAUCAGGCAGGGAUACCCGCUGAACUUAAGCAUAUCAAUAAGCGGAGGA
rnacentral:misc_RNA from 1 species